AGACAUUUCUUCAUCUUUCUCAGCCAGAAACGCCGUAGCAGGUCUCCUAUGCUGGUUUUUCAUAUUUUUGCACCAUUUUUGACAAGCCAGCUCGGAAAUCGGGAACAGUCGGAGGCCCACUCACACUAUCCGUAUACCAUCUUGGCAUAAUGGCUUGUAUAUUUUGAGUCUAGGUACGAAAGAAAGUUAAGGACUCAACAUCCAAGCCAAUCCCGGACUCAAAGUGGUGAAUACUUUUCUUUUGGUAGUAUGGCAUGCACCUAGGUUGUUAAGGUGUUAUUUUGUAUAUGAUAGUGUAUAAACAUGAAAGUUGUUGAAGUAUGGUAUGAAAUAUGCAUAUUUUGAAAGUUAAACUUAUAUGAGUUUGACUAGUAUAAUAAUGUUGUAUAAUUUUGAUAUGAA